rnacentral:rRNA from 1 species
UGAAUACGAGAUGCUACGGCGUCGAAGCAGUCUAUGUCAUACUUCCGAGAAAAGCUUGCACUGUCAUAAACAAAUAAUGCCUGUACCAUAACCGACACAGGUGGGUAGGUAGAGUAUACUAAGGGGCGCGAGAUAACUCUCUCUAAGGAACUCGGCAAAAUGACUCCGUAACUUCGGGAGAAGGAGUGCCUUAUUUAUAAGGUUGCAAUAACAAGAUCCAAGCAACUGUUUACCAAAAACACAGGUCUCCGCUAAGUCGUAAGACGAUGUAUGGGGGCUGACGCCUGCCCAGUGCCAGAAGGUUAAAGAAGUUGGUUAGCAUCCGCGAAGCUGAUAACUGAAGCCCUGGUGAACGGCGGCCGUAACAAUAACGGUCCUAAGGUAGCGAAAUUCCUUGUCGGGUAAGUUCCGACCCGCACGAAAGGCGUAAUGAUUUGGAUACUGUCUCGGAGAGGGGCUCGGUGAAAUAGACUUGUCUGUGAAGAUGCGGACUACCUGCACCAGGACAGAAAGACCCUAUGAAGCUUUACUGUAACCUGAAAUUGAAAUUGGACUUUACUUGCGCAGUAUAGGUGGGAGGCGUUGAGAAUAUUCUUGCGGGAUUAUUGGAGCCAUCAGUGAGAUACCACUCUUGUAAUGUUAGAUUUCUAACUUUGUAUCAUUAUCUGGUCAAAGAACAGUUUCAGGCGGGCAGUUUGACUGGGGCGGUCGCCUCCUAAACGGUAACGGAGGCGCACAAAGGUUUCCUCUGAACGGGUAGAAAUCGUAUCUAGAGUGUAAAGGCAUAAGGAAGCUUGACUGUGAGACCUACAAGUCGAGCAGGGACGAAAGUCGGUCUUAGUGAUCUGACGGUGCUGAGUGGAAAGGCCGUCACUCAACGGAUAAAAGUUACUCUAGGAUAACAGGCUGAUCUCCCCCAAGAGUUCACAUCGACGGGGAGGUUUGGCACCUCGAUGUCGGCUCAUCGCAUCCUGGGGCGGUAGUACGUCCCAAGGGUUGGGCUGUUCGCCCAUGAAAGCGGUACGCGAGCUGGGUUCAGAACGUCGUGAGACAGUUCGGUCCAUAUCCGGUGUAGGCGUUAGAAUAUUGAGAGGAGCCUUCUUUAGUACGAGAGGACCGAGAAGGACAUACCUCUGGUGUACCAGUUAUCGUGCCAACGGUAAACGCUGGGUAGCUAUGCGUGGAGUGGAUAACCGCUGAAAGCAUCUAAGUGGGAAGCCCACCUCAAGAUAAG